rnacentral:rRNA from 1 species
CUCCCGCCGGCGACCGGCGCACGGGUGAGUAACACGUAUGAAACCUGCCCGUAGCAGGGGGAUAAGCGGAAGAAAUUCCGUCUAAUACCGCGUAACAACCCGAGGAGGCAUCUCCUCGGGUUUAAAGGAAGCGAUUCCGGCUACGGAUGGUCAUGCGUCGCAUUAGCUAGUCGGCGGGGUAACGGCCCACCGAGGCGACGAUGCGUAGGGGUUCUGAGAGGAAGGUCCCCCACACUGGUACUGAGACACGGACCAGACUCCUACGGAAGGCAGCAG